rnacentral:rRNA from 1 species
UAAAAACCCCGACUUCGGAAGGGGUGUAUUUAUUAGAUACAAAACCAAUGCCCUUCGGGGCUCUUUGGUGAUUCAUGAUAACUAUACGAAUCGCACGGCCUUGCGCCGGCGAUGGUUCAUUCAAAUUUCUACCCUAUCAACUUUCGAUGUUUGGGUAUUGGCCAAACAUGGUUGCAACGGGUAACGGAGGGUUAGGGCUCGACCCCGGAGAAGGAGCCUGAGAAACGGCUACUACAUCCAAGGAAGGCAGCAGGCGCGCAAAUUACCCAAUCCCGACUCGGGGAGGUAGUGACAAUAAAUACUGAUACAGGGCCCUUUCGGGCCUUGUAAUUGGAAUGAGUACAAUUUAAACCCCUUAACGAGGAACAAUUGGAGGGCAAGUCUGGUGCCAGCAGCCGCGGUAAUUCCAGCUCCAAUAGCGUAUAUUAAAGUUGUUGUGGUUAAAAAGCUCGUAGUUGAACCUUGGGCCUGGCUGGCCGGUCCGCCUCACCGCGUGCACUGGUCCGGCCGGGCCUUUCCCUCUGUGGAACCCCAUACCCUUCACUGGGCGUGGCGGGGAAACAGGACAUUUACUUU